rnacentral:rRNA from 1 species
UACGGGGGGGGCAAGCGUUGUUCGGAAUUACUGGGCGUAAAGGGCUCGUAGGUGGCCAACUAAGUCAGACGUGAAAUCCCUCGGCUUAACCCGGGAACUGCGUCCGAUACUGGCAGGCUUGAAUCCGGGAGAGGGAUGCGGAAUUCCAGGUGUAGCGGUGAAAUGCGUAGAUAUCUGGAGGAACACCGGUGGCGAAGGCGGCAUCCUGGACCGGCAUUGACGCUGAGGAGCGAAAGCCAGGGGAGCAAACGGG